rnacentral:rRNA from 1 species
GAUGAACGCUAGCGAUAGGCCUAACACAUGCAAGUCGAGGGGCAUCACAUGAAGUAGCAAUACGGAUGGUGGCGACCGGCGCACGGGUGAGUAACACGUAUGCAACCUGCCUUCAACAAGGGGAUAACCCGUUGAAAGACGGACUAAUACCCUAUAACACAGGGGUCCCGCAUGGGAAUAUUUGUUAAAGGACAACCGGUUGAAGAUGGGCAUGCGUUCCAUUAGCUAGUUGGCGGGGUAACGGCCCACCAAGGCAACGAUGGAUAGGGGAACUGAGAGGUUUAUCCCCCACACUGGUACUGAGACACGGACCAGACUCCUACGGGAGGCAGCAGUGGGGAAUAUUGGACAAUGGGCGCAAGCCUGAUCCAGCCAUGCCGCGUGAAGGAUGAAGGUGCUAUGCAUUGUAAACUUCUUUUGUCCCGGAAUAAACCCCUGAUUUCUAUCGGGGCUGAAUGUACGGGAAGAAUAAGGGACGGCUAACUUCGUGCCAGCAGCCGCGGU